rnacentral:rRNA from 1 species
UACGUAGGUGGCAAGCGUUGUCCGGAUUUACUGGGCGUAAAGAGCGCGCAGGCGGUCGUUCAAGUCGCGUGUGAAAGCCCCCGGCUCAACUGGGGAGGGUCACGCGAUACUGAUCGACUGGAAGGCAGGAGAGGGUAGUGGAAUUCCCGGUGUAGUGGUGAAAUGCGUAGAUAUCGGGAGGAACACCAGUGGCGAAGGCGGGUCUCUGGGCAACAACUGACGCUGAGGAGCGAAAGCGUGGGGAGCGAACAGG